GACAGCCUUAAAAUUGAAUGGAAUGGAAAGCAACAUUUGAAAGGCUUCAUGAAAGGAGAUGGGGCGUGUGAAAAAAUGCCAUGUUUUUGUUCUUUCUCCAAGGAAAGUAAUCCUCUUGUCACUCUCGGCAUGUAGCGUAUGCAUUUGUAUUAAUGUGUUGCUAUUUGUCUGUAGUAAUUUUAUAUACAUCCUCAUAUUAGAAAAUGAUUCAUUGGUAUACAUCAAAGAGUUACCGAAAUUAGUAUCUAAAUUUUAGAUAUUAAUUCUGUAACUUGUGGAAGGGCAAACCACAUGUUGAUAUGGUGGAUAACAGCUGUUAACAAAGCUUAAAUUUAUUGUUCCACUAUAGCUGUAAAAUGGCUUUGUCGUAGUAAAGUCUCUACUAGUAAAGUAAAGAGAUGCAAAUCAUAAUAGAUGUUGCCUGAAGUGCGAUCGAAAAGUUCCAGGACUGUUUCUAUAUAAAGGUAAAACCACAAAGAGUACUGUUCCGAAUACUUCUGCCAGGUUUGAAACACUUGGAGGCCCCUUUUCUAACCACUUGCAAGUGCACAUUUGUGAUUUCACCAUGGAGCUCAAAAUUGUGCAAAGAGCAAACUUUAAAUCCUGUUUCAAACUGACCAAACAUUCAUGUCGAGGAUCACCACUGGUGCAGAGAGUUGGAUCUCAGGCUACAAGCCGGACCAAACAGCAGUCUGCAGUGGAAGAACCCGCAUUCUUCAAGACUGAAAAAAGUGCAUCAGGUCAGCAAGAAACCAAGAGCAUGUUUCUCGUUUUGUUCCACAUUUACAGGCAUGUGCACUGUGAAUGUCUCCCAGGGUGAGGCUGUCAUCAGUGAGUUCUACUGCGAGGCCUCAAAUUUAGAACAUUUGGCGCACAAGUCACACCAACACAAUUGUCUCUCUUCGCCUGUCCUACUCGCCAGAUUUGGAUGCCUGUGACUUCUCCCUUUUCCCCAAACUGUAAUUGAAGUUGAAGGGUCACCAUUUUGACACCUCAGACAUCCAGCGAGCGUCACAGAUGGUACGAUUACAAAACAAGACAUCCAGAAUGCGUUUCAAACAUGGCAGGAAUGUUGCGAUUGAUGUGUCACUGCACAACAGGUCUACAUCUAAGAGGAUAGCAAGUGAAAUUUGAGACAGGCAGUUUCCGCCAAAUGUGCCAAUAUCCCUACUUUUAUAAAAUGUUUGGUUAUUGGAAUUCAUUAAAUACAAAAUAAUUGAAAAAAACAUUUUCAGAGGGCAAGAACCGAAUUUGUGUAAAAUACUUGCAAAGUGACAUCCAGUGAUCACAGCACACUGAGAUGUGUUGGCUUUGCAGAAGCAGAAAGGGAGACAUUUUGAGUUUACUCUUUUGGGUUUAAAGAAACCUUCAUGUUUGGCACUCUGUGGAAAAGAAAACAAAUCACUCCUCUGUGAUUAAAGUAUAAUUUGUCAUUAUUUUUCAGCUGUGGCUUAGUUUCAUAAGUUGGUUAGCAUUAGCUUUUAUGAUUUGCAAAAAAAAGAAGGAUUUGUUGUGAAAUUACAGGGAAAAGCUGGGUUUUUAUUCUUUAGAAUGGAUAAUUGCUUAUAUUGUUCAUCAUUCCAUCCAGUUAGUGAUUUAUUAAUAUAUUCAGUCGUUCCUCAGAACAAUCAGUCAGUCAGCAAAGCAUGCUCCGAAUUGUCUGCUGUGUAGUGAAUACCUUACAGACAAUCAAUAAGGCUUUAAUUCAUCGCUCAAAGAUAAUUUCAUGCUCUCAGAAGCCCAUUGGUUAUAUUAAUACAUCUAUUAAGGCACUGGGCUAUGAACUUAAUAUUACUCAGCCUCAGAGGGAGUGGAAGAGGGAGAGAGAGCAGAGUGAAGAGAGUGCCAUGACCAGGGCUAUCUCUGCGUGUUAAAUGAGAGUUUAAACUGUUAAUCAUCUUGGUUAGCUUCCCUCUCAGAUGAGAUCCUGCGCUUUAAUGGCUAAUAAGACUCUAAAACACUCUCCACACUGCCAGAGGAAACAAGCAGUUCUGUAGCCGACCUGAGUACAGACGCUUCCAUUUGAACUUGAGCUGCACAUAACCGAAAACAGCAACUUUUCUGUUGUUGUUUGUGACCAAGUAUUGUACAAUUUCUGCUAAUAUUUAAACCUUUUUCACUUUGUGGAGAAAAAUAUGAUCUGCUCAUUUCAACAACUAUCCUAAAGCCAUCCAUCGGUAGACUGGCUUAAACUGCUCCUGAUAAAAGAAUAUUGUGUAAUGUUAGGAAAUGAGAGACUGUUGUGCAUUUUCUUUCUGUUACAGUAUGCCGUGGCUAAUUACAACGCCACCCUUAGAUGGCAGAGAUAAAAAAAAAGGGGUGACGUACGCUCAAAUUAAACAUAAGUGGGAAAACUAAAAGAAUAAAGACACAAAAGGAGGCAGAAAAAACGCUUUAUCAGAGACAGAAAGAACUUGAUAAGAGUUGUGUGAGGAACAGACACGAACAAUAAUGAAUGAUGAAAGUCCUGAUGAUUGAUGAGUCAUCUCCCACAGCAGAUAAUGACAGCUAUCACUCUUUUGACUUGUGCCUCCAGGCCUUUAUUAGCUUCUUUUUUUUCUUCCUCUGUACUGUGUUUGCCCCCCGUUUUCAGUAUUUAAAUGCAGCCAGUGUGUGAAAAUGUGUUUGCAGACAGCUGUUGUGGGAAUAGCUCGACUGGGUGAUCUGUGCCCUCUUUUUGUCAACUCUUAUCAUCAGCAAUGUACUUUAAGUGUAGCUGGGAAACUUGAGGAGACGCUCACAAUACGGCCGCCUCUGUCUCUGCGAUUCUACAGUGAGUUUUAUUUCUGGUAGACCAAGCUGCUUUUUUUUUAACAUGCCCUUUAUUGUAUGCAUUUGUGAGGCCAGAAAUGAGGACUAUGGGAAGCAGUGAAACCAGAAGGUAUAUGUAUCUUGGUAGUGAAAGGUAGUGUAGACUGCAGUAUUGUAGAGUUGUGUGUGUGAAAGAGAAAUAAAGUGCCUGUUUUGGUCCAAGUGUG